rnacentral:rRNA from 1 species
GAUGAACGCUGGCGGCGUGCCUAAUACAUGCAAGUCGAGCGAACAGACGAGGAGCUUGCUCCUCUGACGUUAGCGGCGGACGGGUGAGUAACACGUGGAUAACCUACCUAUAAGACUGGGAUAACUUCGGGAAACCGGAGCUAAUACCGGAUAAUAUAUUGAACCGCAUGGUUCAAUAGUGAAAGACGGUUUUGCUGUCACUUAUAGAUGGAUCUGCGCCGCAUUAGCUAGUUGGUAAGGUAACGGCUUACCAAGGCAACGAUGCGUAGCCGACCUGAGAGGGGGAUAGGCCACACGGGAACUGAGACACGGUCAAGACUCCUACGGGAGGCAGCAGUAGGGAAUCUUCCGCAAUGGGCGAAAGCUUGACGGAGCAACGCCGCGUGAGUGAUGAAGGUCUUCGGAUCGUAAAACUCUGUUAUUAGGUAAGAACAAAUGUGUAAGUAACUAUGCACGUCUUGACGGUACCUGAUCAGAAAGCCACGGCUAACUACGUG